UUAUCUCGGCAGAGCUCAGCAAACUGUAGAGGCAAGAGGGACGUAGCAGCUCAAGAUGCAUUCAAAGCUUUCAUCAGAAAGAUUCAGGAAAAAGAGCACUUCCUGUAAUCAGAAAGGCACGGAGUGUGCAAAGUGUUCUAACCAGAAAGACUCGAAGUG